GGUGAACGCUGGCGGCGUGCCUAAUACAUGCAAGUCGAGCGAAUGGAUUAAGAGCUUGCUCUUAUGAAGUUAGCGGCGGACGGGUGAGUAACACGUGGGUAACCUGCCCAUAAGACUGGGAUAACUCCGGGAAACCGGGGCCAAUACCGGAUAACAUUUUGAACUGCAUGGUUCAAAAUUGAAAGGCGGCUUCGGCUGUCACUUAUUGAUGGACCCCCGUCGCAUUAGCUAGUUGGUGAGGUACCGGCUCACCAAGGCAACGACUGCGUAGCCGACCUGAGAGGGUGAUCGGCCACACUGGGACUGAGACACGGCCCAGACUCCUACGGGAGGCAGCAGUAGGGAAUCUUCCGCAAUGGACGAAAGUCUGACGGAGCAACGCCGCGUGAGUGAUGAAGGCUUUCGGGUCGUAAAACUCUGUUGUUAGGGAAGAACAAGUGCUAGUUGAAUAAGCUGGCACCUUGACGGUACCUAACCAGAAAGCCACGGCUAACUACGUGCCAGCAGCCGCGGUAA
rnacentral:rRNA from 1 species